CCGAGUGAGGGUCCCUUGCGGGCCCAACCUCCCACCCGUGUUUAACUAUACCGUGUUGCUUCGGCGGGCCCACUGGGGCCUGUUCCCGGUCGCCUGGGGGGGUGAAACCCCCCGGGUCCGUGCCCGCCGGAGACCCCUUGAACCCUGAGUGAAUCGAGUGUCGUCUGAGUUUGAAUUAAAUCAUUUA
rnacentral:misc_RNA from 1 species